UCAAAGCUAGCUAGUAAUCAUUUUAGCACAUUAAUGAUAAUAAGCAUGCGUAUAUUAAAUGAAUAAAUAUUGUUCAGUACACAUUUAUAGUAUUAAUUAUCAUAAGCAUUAUAUCAUGAGUAGGAGAGAGGGAAUAUUUACCAUGUUAUUAUCAUUACAACUGGGAAUUCUAAAGCUAGAUUAGUUAAGGUGAAAUGCAUUCAUAUGUCCGGG
rnacentral:lncRNA from 1 species